UAAUUAAGACACAAUUAACGCCCCCAGAUAAGGCACAAUUUACGUCCUCAAUUAUGAAGCACAAUUUACGCACUCAAUUACGAGGCACAAAUAACGCCCCCUCAUUAUGAGGCACAAUUAACGCCCCAAUUAACGUCUUCUUUUCCGAAACCGAAUCCCAUGCUGACCGUACUGCAACCCUCAGCCGUCACCGCCGCGCUAUCUCUUCCGCACACGACCGCCAAGAGAAUGAUGACCACCCGAAAUAUAUCCAUCUCCAUAUCAUUCCAAGCAGCUCCGCUAUUCGCCACGUUCGCGACCAUGUCACGUCAACAGCGCCGGAAAAUCAACGAACUUUAUCGGAACAACACUAACAGUGCGCGAAGCUGUUAACAGAAUUGCCGGAGAUUUUUUGCCGGAAAAACAAGGCGUUUUUCGAUGAGGAAAUGGCGGAGGCAAGCAAGAAUAUCGAUGUGUGUGUUGUGUGUGUAUAGGUGAGAGAGAGAGAGGAAGAGAGAAAAUAGGCUGUCACAGGUUAAUUAGAUCAGUGAGUUCUUUGUUUAAGUGGGAGUAUAUCUUUUGGUGAUGAAUAGGAAGAAGAAGAAGCAAACAGCUGGGAAGGUGGAAUCCGGGGGGUGUU
rnacentral:lncRNA from 1 species